rnacentral:lncRNA from 1 species
CUCUCUGAAAAAUGAAUAGCUAAAUUCUCUUAAGCUCGAAACCAGAAAUCAAUACAUCAUCAAUCAUAAACAAACAACCCCAUAGAAAGGAAAGAGAAACCUAAAAUUAUCUUUAUUUCUAAGAAAGAAGAUCAAGAUCCAUACAGAAAGGCCAUUGGAGUCCGCUUGAUCCCGUUAAGGCAGGAGGCCGUUGAGGGAAUGAAGGACGCAUAGGCUGCAGGUCACUGGAGACAGAUCUUAAGACGAAGAAAAAAGGAUAACUUAGGUAAUAAUUCUCUAACCUUAUCUAUUGGUGGAAGUUUGGUAAUGAUUGUAGAUGAGGAGAUUGAUGGUGGAU